CCUACGGGAGGCUGCAGUGAGGAAUAUUGGUCAAUGGACGAGAGUCUGAACCAGCCAAGUAGCGUGAAGGAUGACUGCCCUAUGGGUUGUAAACUUCUUUUAUAAAGGAAUAAAACGAGGCACGUGUGCCUUUUUGCAUGUCCUUUAUGAAUAAGGAUCGGCUAACUCCGUGCCAGCAGCCGCGGUAAUACGGAGGAACCGAGCGUUAUCCGGAUUUAUUGGGUUUAAAGGGAGCGUAGAUGGGUUGUUAAGUCAGUUGUGAAAGUUUGCGGCUCAACCGUAAAAUUGCAAUUGAUACUGGCAGUCUUGAGUACAGUUGAGGUAAGCGGAAUUCGUGGUGUAGCGGUGAAAUGCUUAGAUAUCACGAAGAACCCCGAUUGCGAAGGCAGCUUACUAAACUGUGACUGACAUUGAUGCUCGAAAGUGUGGGGAUCAAACAGGAUUAGAUACCCGGGUAGUC
rnacentral:rRNA from 1 species